rnacentral:rRNA from 1 species
CGUAGGGACCGAGCGUUAUCCGGAUUUAUUGGGCGUAAAGCGCGCGUAGGCGGCCACACACGUCGGUUGUGAAAGCUCGGAGCUCAACUCUGAGAGGCCUUCCGAUACGGUGUGGCUAGAGGUAGGUAGGGGAGAGCGGAAUUCCUGGUGUAGCGGUGAAAUGCGCAGAUAUCAGGAGGAACACCGGUGGCGAAGGCGGCUCUCUGGGCCUGUCCUGACGCUGAGGCGCGAAAGCUGGGGGAGCGAACAGGAUUAGAUACCCUGGUAGUCCCAGCCGUAAACGUUGGGUGCUAGGUGUGGGGAGGUCUUCAACCCUUUCCGUGCCGCAGCUAACGCAUUAAGCACCCCGCCUGGGGAGUACGGCCGCAAGGCUA